GAUGAACGCUGGCGGCGUGCCUAAUACAUGCAAGUCGAGCGAACGGACGAGAAGCUUGCUUCUCUGAUGUUAGCGGCGGACGGGUGAGUAACACGUGGAUAACCUACCUAUAAGGCUGGGAUAACUUCGGGAAACCGGAGCUAAUACCGGAUAAUAUUUUGAACCGCAUGGUUCAAAAGUGAAAGACGGUCUUGCUGACACUUAUAGAUGGAUCCGCGCUGCAUUAGCUAGUUGGUAAGGUAACGGCUUACCAAGGCAACGAUGCAUAGCCGACCUGAGAGGGUGAUCGGCCACACUGGAACUGAGACACGGUCCAGACUCCUACGGGAGGCAGCAGUAGGGAAUCUUCCGCAAUGGGCGAAAGCCUGACGGAGCAACGCCGCGUGAGUGAUGAAGGUCUUCGGAUCGUAAAACUCUGUUAUUAGGGAAGAACAUAUGUGUAAGUAACUGUGCACAUCUUGACGGUACCUAAUCAGAAAGCCACGGCUAACUACGUG
rnacentral:rRNA from 1 species